rnacentral:rRNA from 1 species
AGGCUUAACACAUGCAAGUCGAGGGGCAGCAUGUCCAGCAAUGGAUGAUGGCGACCGGCGGAAGGGUGCGUAACGCGUGAGCAACAUGCCCUAUACAGGGAGAUACACCAGGGAAACUUGGUCUAAUAUCCCAUAGCAUUCAUUGAAGGCAUCUUUAAUGAAUUAAAGCUUCGGUGGUAUAGGAUUGGCUCGCGUGACAUUAGCCAGAUGGUGAGGUAACGGCUCACCAUAGCAAUGAUGUCUAGGGGUUUUGAGAGGAAGGCCCCCCACACUGGGACUGAGACACGGCCCAGACUCCUACGGGAGGCAGCAGUGAGGAAUAUUGGACAAUGGAUGGAAAUCUGAUCCAGCCAUGCCGCGUGCAGGAAGACGGCCUUAUGGGUUGUAAACUGCUUUUAUACGGGAGCAAUAAGGGUUACGAGUAAUCCGAUGAGAGUACUGUAUGAAUAAGGAUCGGCUAACUCCGUGCCAGCAGCCGCGGUAAUACGGAGGAUCCGAGCGUUAUCCGGAUUUAUUGGGUUUAAAGGGUGCGUAGGCGGAAAUGUAAGUCAGUGGUGAAAUCCUGCAGCUUAACUGUAGAAUAGCCGUUGAAACUGUGUUUCUUGAGUACAUUUGAGGUAGGCGGAAUGUGGUGUGUAGCGGUGAAAUGCAUAGAUAUACCACAGAACACCGAUUGCGAAGGCAGCUUACUAAACUGUCACUGACGCUGAUGCACGAAAGCGUGGGUAUCAAACAGGAUUAGAUACCCUGGUAGUCCACGCUGUAAACGAUGAUUACUGGUUGUUUGCGAUACACUGCAAGUGACUGAGCGAAAGCAUUAAGUAAUCCACCUGGGGAGUACGUCGGCAACGAUGAAACUCAAAGGAAUUGACGGGGGCCCGCACAAGCGGAGGAACAUGUGGUUUAAUUCGAUGAUACGCGAGGAACCUUACCUGGGUUUAAAUGGGGAGUGACAGGCUUGGAAACAGGCCCUUCUUCGGACACUCUUCAAGGUGCUGCAUGGUUGUCGUCAGCUCGUGCCGUGAGGUGUCGGGUUAAGUCCCGCAACGAGCGCAACUCUUAUCGCUAUUUGCCAUCAUUAAGUUGGGGACUAUAGCGAGACUGCCAGUGACAAACUGGAGGAAGGUGGGAAUGACGUCAAAUCAUCAUGCCCCUUAUGACCUGGGCUACAAACGUGAUACAAUGGCUGGAACAAAGAGAAGCGAAGCAGUGAUGUGGAGCCAAACUCAUAAAAACAGUCUCAGUUCGAAUUGGAGUCUGCAACUCGACUCCAUGAAGUCGGAAUCGCUAGUAAUCGCGAAUCAGCAUGUCGCGGUGAAUACGUUCUCGGGGUUUGUACACACGGCCCGUCAAG